rnacentral:rRNA from 1 species
UACGUAGGGCGCAAGCGUUGUCCGGAAUUAUUGGGCGUAAAGAGCUCGUAGGCGGCUUGUCACGUCGGAUGUGAAAGCCCGGGGCUUAACUCCGGGUCUGCAUUCGAUACGGGCAGGCUAGAGUGUGGUAGGGGAGAUCGGAAUUCCUGGUGUAGCGGUGAAAUGCGCAGAUAUCAGGAGGAACACCGGUGGCGAAGGCGGAUCUCUGGGCCAUUACUGACGCUGAGGAGCGAAAGCGUGGGGAGCGAACAGG